UAUUAUAUUUUUAGGGCUCAUUCGAUCAACAAAACUUCCUGUGAUAUGUUCUUUAUUGUAGGAACGUGAUUUUAACUGACACCAGAUUAUUUUCAAGAAUUAUUUGCUUAUUUUAACCAAUACAUAUGCUACUUGUUUCCUUUUUUAUAUCACGUUGACAACUCACAUGAUUUACAUUUGAGGAAGAGGAGACACGUUGGGCAACAUUACAUGGUCUACAGUUGAGCCAUACCGGCCGCGUUCCGAACCAAGAUAACACAACACGUAUUGAAGAUCCACGUCCAAGGCAGGAACAUAACAAGAUUUGUCCACGUUGAGAAGUCUGGGGGUCUUAAGCCUCUAGUUACGUAUAUAUACUCGGACGGAAUUCAGUCUUCCAUUAGACUGCAUAGAUCUGGCGAAGCUGAUCGCAGCUAAGUGAUCAUUUAAACUCCCGCUAACCUUGUCUUAAAAUGUAUCAAAACUACCCCACCAGGAGCCUCAGUCCUAACACUAACUCCAAUCUGGAGCUAGUGGCAGAGUAUCUCGCCUCAAAGGGGUACGGCGAUCAUGAUCUUGGUGAAAACAACACUGAGUUUGGCCACAGUGCAGGUACGGGACACACUCCACCUGGCAGCGCACCGGUUCUCCAGGACACCCAAACUUGGCACGCACAGACUCUCUACCAGCUCGACCCAAGACAAAUGGACCUGGGAGUCGUGACACCAGAUCGAGUGUGGCGGCAGUCUAACCCUUUAUUAGUGGAGCCAGCAAGUCUAAGUAGCACACCGCCCAGCUCGGACGCGUCACCCCCCUACAGCUGCCCCUCGCUGCAGGCUUCAGGCGGGCGUGAGCAGAGUCCAAAUCUCUUCCCGCAAGCAGAGGGCUGUUCAUUAAAUAGAAUAGAUUGGCAGAAUGGCCAGUUCAUUAACACGUUAACGCCCGUGAACCAAUCUUGUGGACCGAGUGAUAGUUUGGAGUCGAAUUUCGAUCAACUUUUGGUAAAUGACCCCAGCAAUACGUCGGGAAAGUCCAGGCGGGGCGCGCCUCACCGCCACAAGAGACAGUUCCUUGAGGGAGAGGAGAAGUUAAAGCGAAACCGUGAGUUGAACAACGAGGCGUCACGGAUUCACCGCCACAGUAAGCGGACGAACAACGAGCAACGACUCAACGAGUGUCAGAGACUUGAGCUAAGGAAUCAGCAACUUCGAGAGAAGUGCUGUUUGUUAGAGAAGGAAGCUCUGAUGUACCGUGAGGUGGUAGAGCCCUUCCUGAGACACCAUGGCUAUGAGCCGGCUGCACGUUACUCCACCUUGCCCCAAACGCCCGACCCCUACCCCAACCCAGCGAAUCACUUUCAUCAUGGAAUGUGAAAAACAACUGUUAAUUCUUCUAUUUAAUUUAUUUAUCUAUUUAUUCAUUAACUAAUUUAUUCGACGACUUAUCAUAUUACUUCAAAGUACUUAUAAUUUGCAUUGAGAUUAAUGCUUUAUUGACUACAUUACACCAGUUUAUCACCUCUUGCAUAUUCACUGAGUAAAUUUUGUUCUGUCGUUCAAGUCUAGCCUGUCGAGUUCGUAAACAUUCAUAGCCCAGUGAUACAAAAAUGUAAUCAAAUAUGUACUGUAUAUGAAAUAAAAUUAGUAAAUAAUA